rnacentral:rRNA from 1 species
UACGGAGGGGGCUAGCGUUGUUCGGAAUUACUGGGCGUAAAGCGCACGUAGGCGGCUUUGCAAGUUAGAGGUGAAAGCCCGGGGCUCAACCCCGGAAUUGCCUUUAAAACUGCAUCGCUAGAAUUGUGGAGAGGUAAGUGGAAUUCCGAGUGUAGAGGUGAAAUUCGUAGAUAUUCGGAAGAACACCAGUGGCGAAGGCGGCUCACUGGCCCGAUACUGACGCUGAGGCACGAAAGCGUGGGGAGCGAACAGG